GAUGAACGCUGGCGGCGUGCCUAAUACAUGCAAGUCGAGCGAACAGACGAGGAGCUUGCUCCUCUGACGUUAGCGGCGGACGGGUGAGUAACACGUGGAUAACCUACCUAUAAGACUGGGAUAACUUCGGGAAACCGGAGCUAAUACCGGAUAAUAUAUUGAACCGCAUGGUUCAAUAGUGAAAGACGGUUUUGCUGUCACUUAUAGAUGGAUCCGCGCCGCAUUAGCUAGUUGGUAAGGUAACGGCUUACCAAGGCAACGAUGCGUAGCCGACCUGAGAGGGUGAUCGGCCACACUGGAACUGAGACACGGUCCAGACUCCUACGGGAGGCAGCAGUAGGGAAUCUUCCGCAAUGGGCGAAAGCCUGACGGACCAACGCCGCGUGAGUGAUGAAGGUCUUCGGAUCGUAAAACUCUGUUAUUAGGGAAGAACAAAUGUGUAAGUAACUAUGCACGUCUUGACGGUACCUAAUCAGAAAGCCACGGCUAACUACGUG
rnacentral:rRNA from 1 species